rnacentral:lncRNA from 1 species
GUGGCACUCGGGGGAAGGGCAUUUGCAGGUGACCAGCCAAUCGUUACUCAACUGCAGGGAAACAGGUGGGGAGGCCGAGGAACAGAAGAGGCCAACAGGUGCGGCAAACGAGGCAGCUUAGGGUUGCUUUGUUUAGGCACCAUGCAAAGGCGCUCCUGUUUGGCCCCCAUGUGGACGCAGCUCUUGGCCAAAGCCGCUUUCUAGCUCUGCUGAUGCCACGUGCUCGCUCUACCAGGCUGGAGGUGCACAUUCCAAGACCUGAGGAUGGAGACGUGGUGUCUGCCUUAGCUUUUCUCUGUGAUCUCAGGGUGGGUCACAAUAAAAUACAGGAAUACUC